CAGCAGUGGGGAAUAUUGCACAAUGGGCGCAAGCCUGAUGCAGCCAUGCCGCGUGUGUGAAGAAGGCCUUCGGGUUGUAAAGCACUUUCAGUCAGGAGGAAAGGUUAGUAGUUAAUACCUGCUAGCUGUGACGUUACUGACAGAAGAAGCACCGGCUAACUCCGUGCCAGCAGCCGCGGUAAUACGGAGGGUGCGAGCGUUAAUCGGAAUUACUGGGCGUAAAGCGUACGCAGGCGGUUUGUUAAGCGAGAUGUGAAAGCCCCGGGCUCAACCUGGGAACUGCAUUUCGAACUGGCAAACUAGAGUGUGAUAGAGGGUGGUAGAAUUUCAGGUGUAGCGGUGAAAUGCGUAGAGAUCUGAAGGAAUACCGAUGGCGAAGGCAGCCACCUGGGUCAACACUGACGCUCAUGUACGAAAGCGUGGGGAGCAAACAGGAUUAGAUACCCUGGUAGUCCACGCCGUAAACGAUGUCUACUAGAAGCUCGGAACCUCGGUUCUG
rnacentral:rRNA from 1 species